rnacentral:rRNA from 1 species
GAUGAACGCUGGCGGCGUGCCUAAUACAUGCAAGUCGAGCGAACAGACGAGGAGCUUGCUCCUCUGACGUUAGCGGCGGACGGGUGAGUAACACGUGGAUAACCUACCUAUAAGACUGGGAUAACUUCGGGAAACCGGAGCUAAUACCGGAUAAUAUAUUGAACCGCAUGGUUCAAUAGUGAAAGACGGUUUUGUUGUCACUUAUAGAUGGAUCCGCGCCGCAUUAGCUAGUUGGUAAGGUAACGGCUUACCAAGGCAACGAUGCGUAGCCGACCUGAGAGGGUGAGCGGUCACACUGGAACUGAGACACGGUCCAGACUCCUACGGGAGGCAGCAGUAGGGAAUCUUCCGCAAUGGGCGAAAGCCUGACGGAGCAACGCCGCGUGAGUGAUGAAGGUCUUCGGAUCGUAAAACUCUGUUAUUAGGGAAGAACAAAUGUGUAAGUAACUAUGCACGUCUUGACGGUACCUAAUCAGAAAGCCACGGCUAACUACGUG